GACGAACGCUGGCGGCGUGCUUAACACAUGCAAGUCGAACGCUGAAGCUCAGCUUUUGUUGGGUGGAUGAGUGGCGAACGGGUGAGUAACACGUGAGUAACCUGCCCCCUUCUUUGGGAUAACGCCCGGAAACGGGUGCUAAUACUGGAUAUUCACUGGUCUUCGCAUGGGGGUUGGUGGAAAGGGUUUUUCUGGUGGGGGAUGGGCUCGCGGCCUAUCAGCUUGUUGGUGGGGUGAUGGCCUACCAAGGCUUUGACGGGUAGCCGGCCUGAGAGGGUGACCGGUCACAUUGGGACUGAGAUACGGCCCAGACUCCUACGGGAGGCAGCAGUGGGGAAUAGUGCACAAUGGGCGCAAGCCUGAUGCAGCGACGCCGCGUGAGGGAUGGAGGCCUUCGGGUUGUGAACCUCUUUCGCUCAUGGUCAAGCCGCAACAAUGGUUGUGGUGAGGGUAGUGGGUAAAGAAGCGCCGGCUAACUACGUG
rnacentral:rRNA from 1 species